rnacentral:rRNA from 1 species
CCUACGGGAGGCAGCAGUGGGGAAUAUUGGGCAAUGGGCGAAAGCCUGAUGGAGCAACGCCGCGUGCAGGAUGAAGGCCUUCGGGUUGUAAACUGCUUUAUAAGCGAGAAAUAUGAUGGUAACUUAUGACUAAGGAUCGGCUAACUACGUGCCAACAGCCGCGGUCAUACGUAGGAUCCGAGCAUUAUCCGGAGUGACUGGGUGUAAAGAGUUGCGUAGGUGGCAUAAUAAGUAGCUAGUGAAAUCUGGUGGCGCAACCAUUCAGACUAUUAGCGAAACUGUUAAGCUCGAGACCGUUAGGGGUAACUGGAAUUUCUAGUGUAGGAGUGAAAUCCGUAGAUAUUAGAAGGAACACCAAUAGCGUAGGCAGGUUACUGGGACGGUUCUGACACUAAGGCACGAAAGCGUAGGGAGCAAACGGGAUUAGAUACCCCUGUAGUC